rnacentral:rRNA from 1 species
GAUGAACGCUGACAGAAUGCUUAACACAUGCAAGUCUUUGGCGAAGCUGUGCUUGCACAGCCUAGCCAAGGCGGACGGGUGAGUAACGCGUAAGGAACUUGCCCUGCAGUCAGGGAUAACAGACGGAAACGACUGAUAAGACCUGGUAAAGUCAGGCGGACUCAUGUCCAGCCUGAUGAAAAGAGAUGCUGCAGGAGAGCCUUGCGUCCUAUUAGCUUGUUGGUGGGGUAACGGCCCACCAAGGCGAUGAUAGGUAGCCGGCCUGAGAGGGAGGACGGCCACAAGGGGACUGAGAUGCGGCCCUUACUCCUGCGGGAGGCAGCAGUGGGGAAUAGUGGACUAUGGGGGCAACCCUGAUCCAGCAAUUCUGUGUGCACGAUGAAGGUUUUCGGAGUGUAAAGUGCUUUCAGCAGGGAAGAAGAGAAUGACGGUACCUGCAGAAGAAGCGACGGCUAACUACGUG